rnacentral:lncRNA from 1 species
GAAAUGUCCCUCCCGCCAAAUCUUGUUGCGGAUAGAGGCUGAGCUCGGGUCAGCCUCCCGGCCCGUGAAACUAGAGGUUGGUGGGAAUUUUUGCCGCGCCCCGGGGCGGGAUGCGGGGUCUAUUCGGGCAGGUUUUUCCGCCCCGGCCCGCACUUUGGCGCACUUUGGCGGUUAUUUUGCGGGUCGGGGCGGGAUGCGGGGUCUGCUAGAGUUGCUCUAAAGAUGGCUGCUGUUGAUUAAGCAUGCAAGGAGUCAUGACUGACAACACUUUCUCAUCCUGCAUAUCAAUAUAAGAACCAUGUUAUUGUUGGUGUGUAUAACUAGCAAGAAAAUUAUAGCUAAUCUCCUAUUGGUGCCUUACCCCCCCUCCCCCCUGCAAAUAACUGCUAGCUGUACUUUGCUUCCUUCUUCUAAUAGAAAGAACAGUGCUCCUGCCAGUCAUUCGAAAAAAAAGGUAGGAAACAGCAGAUGAAAUUUGAGUUUGCCCGUUUUACAGUCUAGUGAUAAGGUAAAAGGUUGGUGGCAAACGGAGGUAGAUUGGUUGCUCCUGUAAAUCAACUUUUAGUGGCUUCUCAUUAAUGCUGUGGAAGAGGUGUGUCCUCGUUUAGAUGCUGUAAGGCGUACUAUUGUGCACGGUGGCGGAGCCAUGAACAUCGAAUGAGGGGGGCAAGUGUUGCUAAUCCUUGUUGGGAGAGCCGGUGCAUCGAAAUACACCAAAUUAGUGGCAAAUAAUCAUCUCUUCAUAUGCAUAUUAGGCGUAGAUGAAAAAUGUUUUUUC